UACGGAGGAUGCAAGCGUUAUCCGGAAUGAUUGGGCGUAAAGCGUCCGCAGGUGGCAAUUUAAGUCCGCUGUUAAAGCGUCUGGCUUAACCAGAUACAAGCAGUAGAAACUAUCUUGCUAGAGUGCGGUAGGGGCAGAGGGAAUUAAGAGAGUAGCGGUGAAAUGCGUAGAUACUCUUAAGAACACCAGUGGCGAAGGCGGCAUCCUGGACCGACACUGACACUGAGGAGCGAAAGCCAGGGGAGCAAACGGG
rnacentral:rRNA from 1 species